CACGUCUCUGUUGGGAGGCGGGGCCUGGCCAGAAGAGGCGGGUUUGGGGGCAUGGCCUGGAAGANNNNNNNNNNNNNNNNNNNNNNNNNNNNNNNNNNNUUCUCUCUCUGCUUCCUGUUCACCUUGCGGUGAGAAGCUCUCCUCCGCCAGACCCUGGGCCAGACCCCCCUGCCUUGGAAGCACCCGACUAUGAACUAAAACAGAAGCCAAAAUGAACCUCUUCUUAAAUUGUGGGUGUCGGUACUGCGGCCUAGCAGUGAACGAAGUGACUAAGACACCGCCUUUCCAGCUGAUGCAGGGAGUGAGCUUGUUUCCCGUGAUCUUCUGCAGCUGGGUGUGGCAACCAAGUUCCAGCAAACCCCAGGCCGGAAACGUGAUGGUCAGAGGCGGAGCAGCCUUUCCAGUCUCUGAGGUGUGUACACCACAAGUUGAGAAAGGGGAACAAGAGGAGGAUGGAGCCAGCACAGAAGUCCAGAACUGCUUACCUCAGGCUUUGUUUACAAAAUAAAGAAUCCCUUAUCUUGCUCAGCCCAGGCUGUCCUGAUGCAGUGGUGCUGGGAGAAAUUAGAGUAGGAGGGCUUGAAGAGAUCUGUGCCCUGGGUCCCACAAGAGAGAUAAGAGUUAACCAAGAAGACGGAAAGGGAAGAAGAUCUUAAAAGAGGAGGAAAACAGCAGUUUAAGAACCAGAGGGGGCCCUGCU
rnacentral:lncRNA from 1 species